CGCCCACACUGAUUGAAUAUCUCCACCUGGCCUGACCCACUCUUGUUCUUGGACUUUGUUACCUGGGACUGGUUUCCAGGACUUGUUUUCAAGACCACCAGCUGCCUGGAUGGGAUUAAGAGAGAGGUGUGGGAAAUGGCUGGAAUGUGGAAGAAGGUA
rnacentral:lncRNA from 1 species